rnacentral:rRNA from 1 species
UAGAGUUUGAUUAUGGCUCAGGACGAACGCUGGCGGCGUGCUUAACACAUGCAAGUCGAACGGAAAGGCCUCUUUCGGGGGGUACUCGAGUGGCGAACGGGUGAGUAACACGUGAGUAACCUGCCCUUGACUUUGGGAUAACUUCAGGAAACUGGGGCUAAUACCGGAUAGGAGCUCCUGCUGCAUGGUGGGGGUUGGAAAGUUUCGGCGGUUGGGGAUGGACUCGCGGCUUAUCAGCUUGUUGGUGGGGUAGUGGCUUACCAAGGCUUUGACGGGUAGCCGGCCUGAGAGGGUGACCGGCCACAUUGGGACUGAGAUACGGCCCAGACUCCUACGGGAGGCAGCAGUGGGGAAUAUUGCACAAUGGGUGGAAGCCUGAUGCAGCAACGCCGUGUGCGGGAUGACGGCCUUCGGGUUGUAAACCGCUUUCGCUCAUGACGAAGCUUUGUGUGACGGUAGUGGGUAAAGAAGCACCGGCUAACUACGUGCCAGCAGCCGCGGUAAU